CGAGCAGGUCACACCCGUUCCCAUCCCGAACACUGUAGUUAAGCUUCUCUGCGCCAAUGGUAGUUGGGGGCUUCCCCCUGCGAGAGUAGGUCGCUGCCGGGC
rnacentral:rRNA from 1 species